UCUUUGCUAGUAUAUCGGAUAGUACAGCCGCCUGUCAAGGUGCUUACUCAAUCACUGCGCGCGGCAGAGCUGGGUUCGACUCCCAGGCAGAGAG